rnacentral:rRNA from 2 species
UGACCUCAAAUCGGGUGAGACUACCCGCUGAACUUAAGCAUAUCAAUAA